rfam:Dipodomys ordii contig_1288, whole genome shotgun sequence.
GGGAAUGUGGGUUAGUGGUAGACUGCUUGCCUAGCAUGCAUGAAGCCCUGGGUUCGAUUCCUCAGUACCA